rnacentral:lncRNA from 1 species
UCCAGCCUGGGUAACAGGAGCAAAACUCCAUCUCAAAAAAAAAAAAAGUGAGGGCUGAGGAGUGGGGUGGGGUGAUAAAGGAGAUUGGAGGGGGAGCAGGAAAGACACGCAGUGGCACAUCUCCCUGAUGAUAACCAAUGCUUCAGGAUUGCCUAUAAGGGCAUAUUAGAAGGCUUUUGAUAAUCUCAAACACUGAGUUUUGCUGCCUGACAUAUCAAUACAGGUUUAGCCAAAGAGCUCACAUCUUGCUUUUGAUUUUCAGGUAGAACAAAUGUUUACAUUAGUAUACAGAAUGUGCAAUGCAAGCAGGCAGCAUUGGUAUGAGAACCUUAACUGAAUGCAUUCCUUGGCUUUGGGAUCUUAUUUAUUUUUUACUCUAUAAACUCAACUCUAUAAUAAGAGAAGAGUUUCAUUUGUAUUUUAAGUUCCCACAGACCAAACGACAAAAAUAGAAUCUACAUUUAGAGUAGGAUCUGCUACCAAUACCAAUAAGAUUUUAUUGGAAUAUGGAAUGUAAACAAAUGUUUCAAACAAACAUCUAACCUUAUAAAAAUGUAUGGCAUUAUUAAAUAGUUAAUAAAGAAAUCUUAAAGGGUGAUGUGGUAGACACCUCUAGUUCUAGCCUAGGUGUGUGAAGUCCCCACAGCUGUGGCAUGGCCCUGCAGCUGGGGUGAGGGGACUGCCUACAAACCAUGUUGCUCCUGAGUCCCCAAAAUGAAAUCAGCCCUAUUUUUGUUUAAACAAACUCUAGCUUUCUCUGCUAACAUGAAGGUUUGCAAAAUGGAUCCAACACUUGCUCCGGGAGCACCAUUUUCUUCCCCAAGCCCCUUGUAUAUUCCUCUGAGUUGCUUGAGUUUCAGAUGACCCUGCCCACACAACUCUAGUACCUGCAUGCAAGACAGACUUAUCUUUGCCAUCACAUAAAUGUAUCACAUAUCAGAACUUACAAAUGCAUAUUACCCUGAUUACAGUGGGAAACUGUGUCUCAUGGGGAUAAAAGGAGGUGGGAGAGAGAUAUUUUUUUCCAUAAGUCUUUCCUGAAAAAAUUCUAAUGGGAUGUUUUCCUCCCUCGCCUUGCCUGAAGACUGACUUUCCAGCUUUAGUUAUGGUUGUGAACAAAAAGGUCUCUGUUUCAGAGAGGUGCAUUAAAAUAGGCGCACACAUAGGGAUGUGCUGGGAAAUGGUGAAGUUCUCCUUACAAGGCUGCCAAAAAAAAAAAAAAAAAAAAAAAAGAAAAAGCAACAAAAAA